rnacentral:rRNA from 1 species
GCUUGCAGCCAGACUUGUAGAUGGUUAUUCAGCCGUUAUUCUUAACGGUGCACUUUUCCCUCUCCAGGCUAGCAUCGGUUCCGACAGCUACUUAAAGGCUUCGGGAAUGUAUCGAUCCUCCGGGGUUGACUUAUAGCCCGGGGUGCCAUGUAGUUCGCCGAGACCGAGGACCGCGUUCUGCACGGAUGCUGGCAUAAUGGCUGUAAGCGACCCGUCUUGAAACACGGACCAAGGAGUCUAACAUCUAUGCGAGUGUUCGGGUGUUAAACCCUUGCGCGUAAUGAAAGUGAAUGGAGGUAGGAGCCUUUACGGUGCACUAUCGACCGAUCUUGAUGUAUUCGGAUGGAUUUGAGUAAGAGCAUAGCUGUUGGGACCCGAAAGAUGGUGAACUAUGCGUGUAUAGGGUGAAGCCAGAGGAAACUCUGGUGGAGGCUCGCAGCGGUUCUGACGUGCAAAUCGAUCGUCAAAUACGCGUAUAGGGGCGAAAGACUAAUCGAACCAUUUGAAAGUAAUGUAGUGAAUAGUUUUGUUUAUCACCAGGUGGUUCCUUUGCAGGGAACACUCACCCUGCUUCAACCUAUUAUUACAGGUUACACCGUUAGUUUGGCGGGAACUCUUGCAAAAGAUAUCCGCAGCAGUAUCUUCUAUCGCACGAAGUCUGUUCACAGACUAUAGAACGGUGGUCAGAGGUGAAAAUCUCUGAUAAAUAUAUAGCCGGACGAAAUUACGAGGCGGAAG